rnacentral:sRNA from 1 species
GCAUUGAGGGAUUACGGGGGAAAUGUGGCUGAUUCUUCAAAAGGGAAUGAAGACAACCAGGGCGAUGAUGCCAACAUCAGGGACACUCAAAAAGAGAAGCUUUUCCAGCCCUUUUAUCAAGUGAUUCAGAAAGAGUGGAAGUGAGAGAGGCCUUUGGAUCGUGUUAUUGUUUGUAUCGACAAAAAACCGAGGGAAUAUGCAGCAGUUAUAGGUCAUCGUUUGUGGGAUCAUGGCCUCGUGGUGGAAACAAUCCACCUUACCUCUGAUUGGGUCUUACUUGUGCACUCCAAGGAGUGAAAGAUGGUGGUUCCCCAUUAUGUAUUCUUGUCUAACAGUCUAACGUAAAACUUUUUUUCUUGCACCUUAAUUAUGCUUCAAGAGUCUAUCACACCCUCGAGGAUGCACCGGGGCUGGUGACUGAAGCACUUAGGAGAUUUCUUGCUAAGUGGGAGCAGCAGGAAUGUCCUGCAGUUUCUCAGAGGGCUGGAGAGCAGGCAGAUGACAUUCCAGGACAGGAGUGCCACCGUAGCCACCCCGGCCUCCGUGCACUCAGCACCUUCUCUUCCUGUUAAAUUUGGGGACGCAUUUGUACAGGGAUGAAUUGAGCCUGAUCACUGACUGCCUGAAGACCAGAAAAGGACAACUGGGAGGCUUGGAGACGCUGGAUCCUUCAGCCAGCAGUGAGCAUUCCUCAUUUCAAGGCAGGAAUCCCCCCCAUUGUGGGCAAGCUGCCUCCACUUCUUCCAACUCCUGGCAGGAAAUCCUUCCUGGGUCCCUCCUUUAGCUCCUGUCAAGUCCCCUUUGUGAGGACUGGUCAACCCCGAAGGUCUGUUUCUCCCUCCCGUGCUUGUGGCAGGCCUCUCCAAGAGGCAUAACCCUUUGGGGUGCCCUGAAGGAUCCCCUAGGCUUCCCCAGCCUGCCAAGUGCCCAGUACUUGAGGAGAAGCCAGGCCUUUUAGCACUGCCAUCAGGUGAGUAG